CCUACGGGUGGCUGCAGUGAGGAAUAUUGGUCAAUGGGCGCGAGCCUGAACCAGCCAAGUAGCGUGAAGGAUGACUGCCCUACGGGUUGUAACCUUCUUUUAUAAAGGAGUAAAGUGAGGCACGUGUGCCUAUUAGUAUGUACUUUAUGAAUAAGGAUCGGCUAACUCCGUGCCAGCAGCCGCGGUAAUACGGAGGAUCCGAGCGUUAUCCGGAUUUAUUGGGUUUAAAGGGAGCGUAGAUGGGUUGAUAAGUCAGUUGUGAAAGUUUGCGGCUCAACCGUAAAAUUGCAAUUGAUACUGGCAGUCUUGAGUACAGUUGAGGUAGGCGGAAUUCGUGGUGUAGCGGUGAAAUGCUUAGAUAUCACGAAGAACUCCGAUUGCGAAGGCAGAUGACUAAACUGCCACUGACAGUGAGGCGCGAAAGUGUGGGUAUCAAACAGGAUUAGAUACCCCAGUAGUC
rnacentral:rRNA from 1 species